UACAGAGGGUGCGAGCGUUAAUCGGAAUUACUGGGCGUAAAGGGCGCGUAGGCGGUCAAUUAAGUUAGAGGUGAAAUCCCUGGGCUUAACCUGGGCAUUGCCUAUAAUACUGGUUUGCUAGAGUAGAGUAGAGGGAAGUGGAAUUUCCGGUGUAGCGGUGAAAUGCGUAGAUAUCGAGAGGAACACCUGCGGCGAAGGCGGGUUGCUGGGCUGAUACUGACGCUGAGGCGCGAAAGCCAGGGGAGCGAACGGG
rnacentral:rRNA from 1 species